GACGAACGCUGGCGGCGUGCUUAACACAUGCAAGUCGAACGGAAAGGCCCUGCUUGCAGGGUGCUCGAGUGGCGAACGGGUGAGUAACACGUGGGUGAUCUGCCCCUUACUUUGGGAUAAGCCUGGGAAACUGGGUCUAAUACUGGAUAGGACCAUGCUGUAGGUGGUGUGGUGGAAAGAUUAGUUUCGGUAAGGGAUGAGCUCGCGGCCUAUCAGCUUGUUGGUGGGGUAAUGGCCUACCAAGGCGUCGACGGGUAGCCGGCCUGAGAGGGUGGACGGCCACAUUGGGACUGAGAUACGGCCCAGACUCCUACGGGAGGCAGCAGUGGGGAAUAUUGCACAAUGGGCGCAAGCCUGAUGCAGCGACGCUGCGUGGGGGAUGACGGCCUUCGGGUUGUAAACUCCUUUCAGCCAUGGCGAAGCCCUUGUGGUGACGGUAGUGGUAGAAGAAGCACCGGCUAACUACGU
rnacentral:rRNA from 1 species